CCCUUAGAUGUUCUGGGCAGCACGCGCGCUACAAUGGUCUUCGCAAACGGAUGCAUUCUCGAAGGAGAAUGCCAAUCUUGGAAUCUAUGCCUUGGUCGGGACAGUUGCUUGCAAUUUUUCGACUCGAACCAGGAAUUCCUUGUAAUCGUGAUUCAUCACAUCACGAUGAAUACGUCCCUGCCCUUUGUACACACCGCCGUCGCUCCUACCGAUCGAAGAGUUAGGUGAAUUGUUUUGAUCGAUAAGAUUUGACUAUGGUCAACUCUCGUUGUGAAAUUCUGCGAAUCUGACUGUUUAGAGGAAGGAAAAGUCGUAACA
rnacentral:rRNA from 1 species